AUUCGAUCAUCGCUACCGCGCCGCACAGGUGCUGCUAUUGCAGGUUCCAAUGUAGUGUUAGGAACACAUGGUUUUCGAGUGUGUAAUGUCGUUUACAAGGUGUGGAAGGUGCGUUUGGUGGUGAUAGGGAACGUGCGUUUGAGGAGGACAUUACAGAGUUUGAAGUGUUUAGUAUUGUUGUGAUCUGUUAUUUUAUUUAUUUAUUUAUUUAUAUUUUUGUAGUUGUCGGGUCUAAAGCGUGUCUUGGUUGAAGCUUAACGGGCGGCUUCUGGAGCGGAUGGUUUUUAUCGGGAGGUUGGAAUGAGAAUUUGUGGAGUGCAGCGGAAGUGGAGCUGGAAUUGGUUUGAUUUUAGCUGCGGAGUGAAGGGGGGGAAAUGGAGUGGAGGACUGUGAUAAUGUUUAGUGUUGUUUCGGUGAAUGCGGUGAUCUUAUGUCAUCUGAGGAUAUGGGUUGCUAAUAGAAACUGCGUAUGGGAAGUGGACAUGGACGAGCUGUUACGUGAAGGUGUUCAGAGGGAAGCGUGUUUGUGUUGUUUUGUGGUUUGAGAAUGAUGGCUGGCAUCUCUAUGGCAUUGAUUUUCUAAAGAAAACCGCGAUCAUUUGCAGGAGUUGAGGUCCUUCCGAAAUCUACGAUUUGCAGGAAGAUCGAGUAGUGUAGUUGAGUUUUAAUCACAGGAAAACUGCGUGAAAGAUUGGGAGCGGGUCCAAUUUGGUGUGGUGUCUGCGUUCCUUGACAUCGUUCCUUGAAGGUGUCGCUGAGGCUAUCGUGAUUGUGGAGGAAAAACUUCUGUAUCUCUCUGUGACGAGCUCUGGACUCCAAUUUUGUUUUGCGCAAUCGAAGUGUGAGAUGUGCGCUGUGCUGUGCUGUGAAAAUUAAGAAGCCUGGAGCAUUGAGCGCUUUGCGUGUUGUUUAUAACGUCAUAGGCAAUGGCAAGAGCGAAUAAGCUUAUCAAUGAUCCCAAUGAUGUUGUUAAAGAGUUGAUUGAGGGAGUGGUGGAGACAUAUCCUCACCUUACUUAUCUUGAUGGAAUUCCUGAGGUGAAAGUAAUAUUGCGGGCAGAUAUUAAACGAGGUAGCUAUAAUAAAGUUGCAAUUUUAUCAGGUGGUGGCAGUGGUCAUGAGCCUGCUCAUGUAGGAUAUGUAGGUGAGGGUAUGCUUACGGCUGCAAUUUGCGGGGAUGUGUUUGCUGCUCCGUCGGUUAAUGCAAUACUAGCUGGAAUCCGUGCGGUAACUGGACCUCCCGGUUGUCUCCUUAUUGUGAAGAACUACGUAGGAGAUCGCCUAAAUUUUGGGUCUGCUGCUGAGCAAGCGAAGGCAGAAGGGUUCAAAGUUGAGAUGGUGAUUGUGGGUGAUGAUUGUGCUCUCCCCCCUCCGCCACGAGGUCCAGUUGGUCGACGAGGAUUGGCGGGUACAUUAUUUGUUCACAAGGUUGCAGGAGCAGCCGCUGCAGCGGGGCGAUCACUUACUGAAGUUACAACUGUUGCAAAACGAGUUGCAGAAAUGGUAGGUACAAUGGGGGUAGCAUUGACUGUGUGUACAAUGCCUGGGCAAAAUCCUUCAGAUCGACUGGGACCUGGGAAAAUGGAGCUGGGUUUAGGCAUUCACGGUGAACCAGGAGCUUUGGUAGCUGAUUUGCAGCCCGUAGAUUCUGUUGUGGCUCACAUUUUGAAGCAAAUUUUAUCUCAAGAGACAAACUAUGUGCCUAUCAAACCAGGGAGUCGAGUUGUGCUCAUGGUGAAUAGUCUUGGAGCAACACCGAUGAUGGAGCUAAUGAUUGCUGCUGGGAAAGCUGUUGCACAACUGCAAAUAGAGCAUGGCUUAACUGUAAAACGUGUUUAUACGGGUUCCUUUAUGACAUCACUUGACAUGGCAGGAAUGUCACUGUCUGUGCUGAAGGUGGACGACUACAUUUUGGAUGCACUUGACUCUGCAACCCAGGCGCCAGCGUGGCCUGCUGGAGUUGCUGGACCCCGUCCGUCGACAACUUUGCCCGUUGCCCUUCCACCUGCACCGGCAAACCUCAUUCCGAAUCCAGUUCGCCCACAAGAGUUGAGCGCACAAGGUCGGAAAUUAGAGGUUGCAAUCAGAGCUGGCGCUGCAGCAAUGCUGGGCCUCAAAGAGUUUGAAUGCAUGGGAUGGAUUAGUUGGAGAUGGAGAUUGUGGAUCCACGGGGCUGCAGCUUUUGAGCGAGCAUUUGCCGCUGUGGAUAAAUAUGGUGGUGCGUCGACUGGCCGUCGCACCCUAUUGGAUGCUUUUUUGCCUGCCUCAUCUACUCUGUGAGAGGAGUAGUAGGUGCAGCAGCCACAAAAUUCAUGCUGGCAUAGCUGUUGCAGAGUUCUGUACCUGAGUAUGUCCUCCCGAGAGUUUCAGACUCUGGAACUAUGGCAGCCGCAGAGUGGUUGCAGCUGCCCAGGCUUUGUCACCUUCCUCCUAGCAAUUCUGCUCCUUGUGUGAACAUCGAGAUUGGAUGCCAUGCGCCUCCACUUCUCCUUUUUUCUGAUCCUUUACAGAAGUUCAUCUGGCCGUUUAUCCAUGAUUCAAUACUCUGGAUGACCAUUCUUGACACGAAGUUAUGUCUAUAUUUCAAGAUAUGUUGGGCACUCUAAUAUAUGACCUUGACCAGCUUUUUACCUGCGAAUAACAUUCAUGAUAAAAUUUGAGUGAAGAGGUGGUUUGGAUUGUCGCUCUUCCUAGAAACACAAGACUGUAUAUUAUGUGCUCUCUUUGUAAUUGCAUGAAGCUCCCAGGAUACAAUAAUAUGUCAACAUAGCUGAAGCCACUGCUUCCAGUGGCUACUGAGAACUGCCGCAAGCUGAAGGCCCUGUUGAGGGUUUCGUAAAGAGUUACCGAACCGUUCUCCAUGCGUGGACUUAAAAAUGACGGUGUAAAUUGUGGCCCCUCAUGGUAUGUAGGGUGGUGAAUUCUCACUAUCUAUUUUGAUUUUUGUCGCCAGUUUCACCGAUAUGCAACAUGAUCAUUUGGUAGCAGUAUGCAAGGACAACAUAGUUUCUACAAGUUUUUGUGUAGAAAAUAGAGCAAGUUGUACAGCGGAGUACAUUGUUACUGCUGUAUGACCUUGUAACACUCGCAUUGCAUUCUGAAAGAUAUUCGUGGGGAAAAUCCUAUUCCUUCUGUCAGAAAGCUCAUAUUCUGUAAUUCUGUAUUAGCUCACUAAACUCAUAGCGCAACUAUCAGAGUUUAGGUGUGCUGUUGGAUCAAAUAUCAUUGUGAUAAACAAUGUAGCCUGGGAAAUUGUCGAAGGGUGCCUGGAUGAACUCUGGUGCCCACGGGUAGAGCUUCAGCUCUGGCUUUGGCUUCUCUUCAGUGCGGGUACUGGAAUUAUUUAUAUUGCAGCUUGAAGACAUUUACAGGAGGAUUAAGCUGCAAGAUUUACAUGGCAAGCCUGCGUUGAUACACUAUCAACAUCAAACUAAAAGCUCUCAGCGUAAAACACCCCUUUUGACAUGAAUUCACCCAUGAACUUGGGCAUGUUACGGCUGUCGGAUAUGCCCUUGGACAGAUUACGGCAAUCCGGGAACUUGGACAAAACAUUGGUCACAGACUUCGGCAUUUUCGCCUCAGGCAUCUUAGGCAUCUUCGGGCGAAAGAUUUUUCUAGGACUUUUCCCCCCUUUAUUUUUUGAUUUUCCCUCUUCCACUAAUGCGGUUGUCUCUUCUGUCUUUUCCUCUGUUGACUUGGCUUCUUCCUUGGGUGGCUCUGGUGGUGGUGAUGGGGUGGCGGUGGCAGAAAUCAAAGUAGCCGCUUUUCCAGACUUGCGGAUGCGACGCACCACAUCAUCCGCAUCAACUUCUCCAACUACUGUUGCCUUUUGCUCUUUAUAGUUUACUGUGUAGGAAGUGACACCUGCAAAUAUUCAAGACAUACUCGCCACGGACACGAUUAGGUUUCCGAGGUUGUCAUAACACCAAGAAACAGGGUAAGCAUCCAGCUAAAACCAACUUUGUAAUCGGCUGUAGAAUCUGAGUGAAGUAACCACCAAGGUGCCUUCUGCACUGUGAAAAAUAAAGAUAAAAAUAAUAAUUGCACUA